UACGUAGGGGGCAAGCGUUGUCCGGAUUUAUUGGGCGUAAAGAGCUCGUAGGCGGUUCCGUAAGUCGGGUGUGAAAAAUCUGGGCUCAACCCAGUGGAGCACCCGAUACUGCGGUGACUCGAGUCCGGUAGGGGAGUGUGGAAUUCCUGGUGUAGCGGUGAAAUGCGCAGAUAUCAGGAGGAACACCGACGGCGAAGGCAGCACUCUGGGCCGGUACUGACGCUGAGACGCGAAAGCGUGGGGAGCGAACAGG
rnacentral:rRNA from 1 species